AAGUGAAGACAAAAGCCAUUACAAGAUGGCGAGGUUUGAGCGGAGACGAAGAGAGGGAAAUUAAGUGUGGGUCAACAGUGACUGAAUACAUAGGUCAUGUGUAGCGAACCCAGGGAACUGAAACAUCUAAGUACCUGGAGGAAAAGAAAUCAACCGAGAUUCCGCAAGUAGUGGCGAGCGAACGCGGAGCAGCCUGCAAUUUUUAGCUUUUGUGUUAACGGAACAGUCUGGAAAGUCUGGCCAUAGUGGGUGAUAGCCCCGUAGGUGAAAGCACAGGAGUGGAACUAGGAUUGCGACAAGUAGGGCGGGGCACGAGAAACCCUGUCUGAACAUGGGGGGACCAUCCUCCAAGGCUAAAUACUCGUAAUCGACCGAUAGUGAACAAGUACCGUGAGGGAAAGGUGAAAAGAACCCCGGAAGGGGAGUGAAACAGACCUGAAACCGCAUGCAUACAAACAGUGGGAGCCCCUCCUUCAAGCGCUUUGCGCUAGACAGAGGACAGAAGACUGAGGACUGAAGACAGAUUGUUGUGUCGCUUCGCGACGUUUUUAAUAAAGGUGCCGCGUAGCGGCAACAGCAUUCUGUCAUCUGUCAUCUGUCUUCAGUCUUCUGCCAUUCAAAAGCAGAGCUUUUGAAGGAGGGGUGACUGCGUACCUUUUGUAUAAUGGGUCAGCGACUUACAUUCAGUAGCGAGCUUAACCGCAUAGGGGAGGCGCAGGGAAACCGAGUCUGAUAAGGGCGAUAGUUGCUGGGUGUAGACCCGAAACCAAGUGAUCUAUCCAUGGCCAGGAUGAAGGUGUGGUAACACACACUGGAGGUCCGAACCCACUAGUGUUGAAAAACUAGGGGAUGAGCUGUGGAUAGGGGUGAAAGGCUAAACAAACUUGGAAAUAGCUGGUUCUCUCCGAAAACUAUUUAGGUAGUACCUCAUGUAUCACUCCCGGGGGUAGAGCACUGUUAUGGCUAGGGGUCUAUUGCUGACUACCAAACCAUUGCAAACUCCGAAUACCGGGAAGUGCGAGCAUGGGAGACAGACAUCGGGUGCUAACGUCCGGUGUCAAGAGGGAAACAACCCAGACCGCCAGCUAAGGUCCCCAAGACACAGUUAAGUGGGAAACGAGGUGGGAAGGCCCAGACAGCUAGGAGGUUGGCUUAGAAGCAGCCACCCUUUAAAGAAAGCGUAAUAGCUCACUGGUCGAGUGGGUCUGCGCGGAAAAUGUACCGGGGCUAAGCAUAGUACCGAAGCCAUGGGAUGGCGCUUUGCGCCAUCGGUAGGGGAGCGUUCCGUCAGCGGUGAAGGCCGAUCGUAAGGGCGGCUGGAGCGGACGGAAGUGAGAAUGCAGGCAUGAGUAGCGUACAAACACGUGAGAACCGUGUUCGCCGUAAAUCUAAGGUUUCCGACGCCAGGUCAUUCCGCGUCGGGUUAGUCGGGUCCUUAGCCGAGGCCGAGAGGCGUAGGUGAUGGACAUCCGGUCAACAUUCCGGAACCGCUUGAGAGUGCGAUGGGAGGACGCAACGAGAUAGGCCAGCCUGUUAUUGGAUUCAGGUGCGAUCUAUCAAGACGUUGAGACUGGUAGGCAAAUCCGCCGGUUGAGUCGAGGUAGGAGCGAGCCGUAAGGCAUAAGUGGCUGAGUUUUGUUGCCCAGAAAAGUCUCUAAGCAUAACUUUCAAGCGCCCGUACCGCAAACCGACACUGGUAGACGGGUAGAGAAUACCAAGGCGAACGGGAGAACCUUCGUUAAGGAAUUAGGCAAAUUAGCCCCGUAACUUAGGGAUAAGGGGUGCCCUGCUGCGUGAAAUGUGAACAUAUGGAGCGUGGCGGGGUCGCAGUGAAAGGGCUCUAGUGACUGGUUAACAAAACCACAGGUCUCUGCCAAGCCGCAAGGCGAUGUAUAGGGGCUGACACCUGCCCAGUGCCGGAAGGUUAAAGGGAGAAGUCAGGCGCAAGCUGAAGCUUUGAACUGAAGCCCCGGUGAACGGCGGCCGUAACUAUAACGGUCCUAAGGUAGCGAAAUUCCUUGUCGGGUAGAAUAGACUGCCCGUACCGGCUGAUAACGGUGGAGCCCAAACUCGUUGCGCUGUGACAAGGACAGCGUGGAAAAGAGAUGGGUAAUACCGUGGGAAGUCGACCUAACCCUGAGCAAUGCGAAGGGGAAGCGUUGACCCCGUAACGACUGAGGCGCAAGCCGAGAUGAUGGCUGAGGCUACUAGAUUAUAACCAUCAUCAUACGCCGGAAUCUCCCAGCGAGCUCGAGCCGAUGGAUCUGAAUGCCUAUCUGAGUGGAUAUGUUGAUGGCGAAGGGUGCUUCUGUGUAUCCUUCAAUCGUAGCCAACGUCAUCGUUUGGGCUGGGAAAUCCGACCAAGUUUCUCGGUCAGCCAAAAUGAUGAUCGAGCUGAAGUGCUGAAAAUGCUGAAGGAGCGCUUCGGUUGUGGCAGUAUCCGACCGGAUAGGUCAGAUCGAACGUUAAAGUAUGAAGUGCGAAGUGUUCGCGAUCUGGUGGAGAAGGUGAUUCCUCACUUCGAGAAGUUCCCGUUGCUGUCAAGCAACGUGACUUCGAGAAGUUUGCACAGAUUUGCCGCUUGAUGUUGGAGCAGCAGCAUCUCAGCAAAGAAGGAUUCAGCCAGAUUGUCCACUUGGCGUUCGAAAUGAAUUCAUCAGGUCUUCGGAAACACUCGUUGAGCGAGAUUAAGAUAUAGUCUGCGCCCAUAGAAAUAUGGGAUAUGCGCGAAGUUCCGACCCGCACGAAAGGUGUAACGAC
rnacentral:rRNA from 1 species